GUCCACGCCGUAACGAUGGAUACUAGCUGUUCGGAGCAAUCUGAGUGGCUAAGCGAAGUGAUAAGUAUCCCACCUGGGAGUACGUUCGCAAGAAUGAACUCAAGGAAUUGACGGGCCGGCACAAGCGGUGGAGCAUGUGGUUUAAUUCGAUGAUACGCGAGGAACCUUACCAAGGCUUAAAUGGGGAUUGACCGGCUUGGAAACAGGCCUUUCGCAAGACAAUCUUCAAGGUGCUGCAUGGUUGUCGU
rnacentral:rRNA from 1 species